rnacentral:rRNA from 1 species
UACGUAGGGGGCAAGCGUUAUCCGGAUUUACUGGGUGUAAAGGGAGCGUAGACGGCUUUGCAAGCCAGAUGUGAAAUACCGGGGCUCAACCCCGGGACUGCAUUUGGAACUGUUAAGCUGGAGUGUCGGAGAGGCAGGCGGAAUUCCUAGUGUAGCGGUGAAAUGCGUAGAUAUUAGGAGGAACACCAGUGGCGAAGGCGGCCUGCUGGACGAUAACUGACGUUGAGGCUCGAAAGCGUGGGGAGCAAACAGG